UUCAAGGCAGCAGAGCAGGCUCACUCACUCACUGUAAUGUGCACGCAGCUGCAGCACAGCCUCAUUAUACGUAUGUGGAGGCUGGGCUGACUGAACUGUAGGGGGAGCUGCAGAGUCACUUCACCAUGCCAGCUCCUCUCAGGCAGUUCCCAUGGGCCUUUGAGAGUUCAGAGGUCGGGUGAGGAAGUGUUUCUGCAGCAGGUCCGUGUCUGGCAUGCUGGAGGGGGGAUGGCUGAUCGGAGAACUCGGACAGACAGCUCCAGUGAUGAGGAGGGCACAGCUGCGGGCAGCCAGAAAACAAAGAGCCUUAUGUACACCUGGUGCGGAGGUGCAGCCCUGCCCCACCCCCAACCCGAUCGCAGGCCACGCCCAUGUUCCCCUGGACUAUGCGGAGAACACCAGAGGAGCGGAACCCAUAACUUCUACUGAGGCCGUCCUGUGUGAGCUUGCAUGGAAGGAGCAACGGUGGCUGGGACCCGGGAGCUGCAUUAGAGGAGAUAUUCAGAAAACUAUAUACUCCGAAUAUCUUGUCUAAAGCAUGAAUUGUUCAAGGACAUACAACGCCAGAUGUGUCCGAUGUAUCCAAGGACAGUCGGGAAGAAUGUUUUCAGCAUAUGUCCGAGAGACUGAUAAUCACAAAGCAAUAAACCAUAUUCAAGAAUGUUCUAAUUGCUAAUUAGAAUCUUGUAUGACAAUUGAUGUAUUUCAGGUUCUGAGACAUACAUGGUGUAUUCUGAUUGGCUAAAUGUAUUGGCAAGCAUGAUUCCUUUUGUCUUUAAGCUAUAAAAAUAAACCUGUAACGGCCCCUAAAGCAGGUCAGCUAUGGUCUGUUUAGGUUACACAUAA